rnacentral:rRNA from 1 species
AGGCGGUCAGCUGGUCCGUUACAGACACUAAAGCACGAAAGCUAGGGUAGCAAACGGGAUUAGAGACCCCGGUAGUCCUAGCUGUAAACGAUGUAGACUUGGCGUUGGCGGAGUUAAAUCUGCCAGUGCCGAAGCUAACGCGUGAAGUCUACCGCCUGGGGACUACGACCGCAAGGUUAAAACUCAAAGGAAUUGACGGGGACCCGCACAAGCAGCGGAGCGUGUGGUUUAAUUCGAUGCUACACGAAGAACCUUACCAAGGUUUGACAUGCAAGUGGUAGUGAUCUGAAAAGUGAACGACCCUUCGGGGAGCUUGCACAGGUGCUGCAUGGCUGUCGUCAGCUCGUGUCGUGAGAUGUUCGGUUAAGUCCGCUAACGAGCGCAACCCUCACUGUGUGUUAUACGUGUCACACGGGACUGCCGGUUUUAAGCCGGAGGAAGGCGGGGAUGACGUCAAGUCAGCAUGGCCUUUAUAUCUUGGGCUACACACACGCUACAAUGGUCUGUACAAUAGGUUGCCAAGCCGCGAGGCGGAGCCAAUCCUAAAAGCAGGCCUCAGUUCAGAUUGUAGGCUGCAACCCGCCUGCAUGAAGAUGGAGUUGCUAGUAACCGCAGGUCAGCUAUACUGCGGUGAAUACGUUCCCGGGUCUUGUACACACCGCCCGUCACGUCAUGGAAGCUGGCAACACCUGAAGCCGGUAUCCUAACCGCAAGGAGGGAGCCGUCGAAGGUGGGGUUGGUAACUGGGACGAAGUCGUAACAAGGUAACCGUA